rnacentral:rRNA from 1 species
CCUACGGGUGGCUGCAGUGGGGAAUAUUGGGCAAUGGGGGCAACCCUGAUCCAGCCAUGCCGCGUGUGUGAAGAAGGCCCUCGGGUUGUAAAGCACUUUCAGUGAGGAAGAACGCCUGGUGGUUAAUACCCAUCAGGAAAGACAUCACUCACAGAAGAAGCACCGGCUAACUCCGUGCCAGCAGCCGCGGUAAUACGGAGGGUGCGAGCGUUAAUCGGAAUUACUGGGCGUAAAGCGCGCGUAGGUGGCUUGAUAAGCCGGUUGUGAAAGCCCCGGGCUCAACCUGGGAACGGCAUCCGGAACUGUCAAGCUAGAGUGCAGGAGAGGAAGGUAGAAUUCCCGGUGUAGCGGUGAAAUGCGUAGAGAUCGGGAGGAAUACCAGUGGCGAAGGCGGCCUUCUGGACUGACACUGACACUGAGGUGCGAAAGCGUGGGUAGCAAACAGGAUUAGAUACCCGAGUAGUC